GGCUGUGGCUCAGUGGUAGAGUACUAGCCUCGCACAUGUGAGGCACUGGGUUCAAUCCUCAGCACCA
rnacentral:tRNA from 1 species